UCGAGAAUAUUCCACAAUGGACGAAAGUCUGAUGGAGCGACGCCGCGUGCGGGAUGAAGGUCUUCGGAUCGUAAACCGCUUUUCUACAUGAAGAAUUUUUGACGGUAGUGUAGGAAUAAGAGGUUACUAACUCUGUGCCAGCAGUAGCGGUAAUACAGAGACCUCAAGCGUUAUCCGGAUUUAUUGGGCGUAAAGAGCAUGUAGGUGGAUUUAUUAGUCAGACGUCAAAUCUUCGAGCUUAACUCGAAAACUGCGUUUGAAACGGUAAAUCUCGAGACAGUGAGAGACUAAUGGAACAUAUGGUGUAGCAGUAAAAUGCGUUGAUAUCAUAUGGAACACCAAAGGCGAAGGCAUUUAGUUGGCACUGUUCUGACACUGAGAUGCGAAAGCGUGGGUAGCG
rnacentral:rRNA from 1 species